GAAGGGAAAUUCAUGAUGAACAAGUGGGGUCGGUUUAAUCUAGGCGCACGGGUGCGUAACGCGUGGGAAUCUGCCCUUAGGUACGGAAUAACUCAGGGAAACUUGUGCUAAUACCGUAUGAUGUCGCAAGACCAAAGAUUUAUCGCCUAAGGAUGAGCCCGCGUUGGAUUAGCUAGUUGGUGGGGUAAAGGCCUACCAAGGCGACGAUCCAUAGCUGGUCUGAGAGGAUGAUCAGCCACACUGGGACUGAGACACGGCCCAGACUCCUACGGGAGGCAGCAGUGGGGAAUAUUGGACAAUGGGCGAAAGCCUGAUCCAGCAAUGCCGCGUGAGUGAUGAAGGCCUUAGGGUUGUAAAGCUCUUUUACCCGGGAAGAUAAUGACUGUACCGGGAGAAUAAGCCCCGGCUAACUCCGUGCCAGCAGCCGCGGUAAU
rnacentral:rRNA from 1 species